AGCUAUCAAAAACUGCCUGCCAUCUUUCCAAAUCAUGUCUCUCCUGCAGUGACCAGGACUUAAUCCUGAAGGAAAACAAGGAAACAAAAGCAUGGUGGUGAAUCAAUGUUGCAGUUCAAGCUCUGAAAGAGAAUUUCUAUUAAAAUGGACAACAGAUGUGAACAAAGAAAAGAAGUGGAUCAAAGAUGUGAACCCCAUUCGUGAGAUUAUUUGCAAACACAAAGCAUUGUUAAAGCCAGUGACAACUGUCAACUAAGUCUCAAAAUGGCCCUAUGGCAAUGAAGGAUGAAGAGAAUAACAGGACUUAUUGUUCGCUGAUGAUCAUUAAGCAGAUAUCAGGAAAGUUCAGGUGAGAAACUUUACCUGAGGUCGUAGAAGAAAAUGGGGAAAAGUGUUGGGUUUGUCCUUACUUUAAAAGCUGGCUUUUCAUUCUAAGAAACAUGAACUAGAUCAACAAUAAAGAUACUAAGCACUUAUUUUAGGACUCUGAAAAUGUUCUAAGGUCUAUGGAACAACUUUGAAAGGCUCUCUUUUGAUAAGGAUAUUUGUGUAAGGAAAAGAAAGAUUGUAGUUCAAAUUUUCCUGGUCAAUGAUCUCAAAUGGCAGGGGUACUCAAAUCAAGUCCAAAAGCUGUUCCAAAUUCUAAAUCAGAAAACAAAUUAAUUAUUCUUAAAUGUUUAGGUAACAUAUACAUUACAGUUAGCCUGGUUAGUAUAGUCAUAAAAUAGUAUUUUUAUGUGCUAAUUUCUUUUUUUAUGGUGGGCAUUCAUAUCAGUUUUAUUCAGUGAGGAGCAUUGUCUUAGGAAUUUAAAUGAUUGUAGAGGCUGCCUGUAACAUUUUAUUUGCUCAAAGUUAAUCAUCAAAAUGGAAAUAAUAUUUUUUUCCUUUUUUUUGAGGAAGAUUAACCCUGAGCUAACGU